GUAAAAGCGGGUGAAGUAGGUAGAGAGAAGUACAGAGAGCUGGGUAUUUCGACGCAGCAGACGAGAGCGACGGAUGCGGGUGUCCUGAAUGGAAACCUUGCGCUCUUUCUGGAGGCUAACCUUCCCCCUGCUAGAAGAAAGAAGGUGACUCUGGCUGUGGCUCCUUCAGAGACUGAAGCAACACUCGGGAGGACUGUGGCUGUUGCGGCCAAGUUACUGAGGUACCUUAGGUUCAUCAGUUGCAGUGCUAAGAACAAGGGCUGUAUCAUCCACGUUCACAGGCUAGUGGAUUGUUGGGUCCUGCGUUGACUGCUUCUUGGGUAUGUUGGGUUUUGCCUACUUAAUGCAGCAGAUUGCUGUGCACUGGUCCUCUGUACUAGUUUUAUCUUAUUUUGUGAAAGUGACCAUAUGACGUGUAUUGUACUGUAUUCUCUCUUUUAUGAUCCUGUGCAAGAGCCUGCAGUUUGCAGUACAGUACGAGACUAGUCCUGCCAUUGCUGUAAAUGUCAUCUCUUCGGACUCUUGCAGUGAUGUUCGUAUUUUUCGUCAACAGUAUUCCAUCCACGGAUGGAUGUUGAGCACUAAACACUGAGCAGAGCCUGCAUUUUUCUGUGUGCCUUUUGCCAUCUGCUGUAGUAGGGGUGAUGUUUGCAACCUGUUUUCCAGUGAUGUACCCAUGUUUGCUGACAACUUACAGGAUUCAGCUAAGGAGCACUUGUGCUUCAAGUCAGCUGAAGUGCCACAUAUAAACAUGGAUGUUAUGAAGGAAGCAUUGAAAGAGGUGUUUGCCUGUACUUUCACUUCCUGUGAAAGGUCUGACAGAUGAAGCUACCACUUUAGCCACUGCUACCCAAGUUCAAAGGAGUUCAGUGUUGACUAGGAGGACAUGAUCUGCUGGAACAACUUUGUGAUUGACCUAGUGAACUUACACAAUGGCUUCUGCCUACUGUGAAGACUUGAGUGAUGGACCUCAGCAUUUUUGCUGACAAGUUAAAGGACCUAGUUGGAGGAGCACUUGUCUUUCAAGUCAGCUGAAGCACCGCAUAUAAACAUGUCAUGAAGGAAGCAUUGAAAGAGCUGGAGGAGGAGGAAGAAGACUAAGUCUGAAGAGGAAAAUGGGGAUGUGGAGACAAAAGCAAAGAGGAAAAACUGCAAGGUGAAGAUAUGAAGAAAGAGAGACUUGGUUGGAGAACUUGGCUAAGAAAAGUGAAACAGCCUUUGGAACAGGUGCAAGUUGCAGCAGAAAUGCAAGACUUGUACAGUGUUAUUCUGAUAGUGUAUACAAUAAAAUUGCUUGGAAGACUUUUUUUUUAGGUAUGAGUGUUCCGGUUGUGUGCCUUGAUGUAUUUCUGUGAAAUAUUUGCAACAUGUAUUUUGAGUGGAAGUAAUUGCAUUAUACAGGCUUACCUUAAAAUGAGCACAAUUUCAAAAUGGUGUCUGAUCUACUACAGUCAGUUGUAUCUGUCUGAUAUUUCAUUUGGGAGAAAAGUGUCUGUUGACAAUGUGAAACAUGUCAAAGGGGAGGGUUUUUUUUUUUUU